rnacentral:tRNA from 1 species
GGUUGUGGCUCAGUGGUAGAGCGCUUGCCUAGCAUGAGGCGUGGGUUCAAUCCCCAGCACCA